rnacentral:rRNA from 1 species
AGCAGCCGCGGUAAUUCCAGCUCCAAUAGCGUAUAUUAAAGUUGUUGCAGUUAAAAAGCUCGUAGUUGAAUUUCGGGGUUAGUAGGUUGGUCAUGCCACUGGUAUGUACUGGUCUCACUGAUUCCUCCUUCCUGAUGAACCGUAAUGCCAUUAAUUUGGUGUUGCGGGGAAACUGGACUGUUACUUUGAAAAAAUUAGAGUGUUUAAAGCAGGCUAACGCUUGAAUACAUUAGCAUGGAAUAAUGAAAUAGGACGUUCGAUCCUAUUUUGUUGGUUUCUAGGAUUGACGUAAUGAUUAAUAGGGAUAGUUGGGGGCAUUAGUAUUCAAUUGUCAGAGGUGAAAUUCUUGGAUUUAUUGAAGACUAACUACUGCGAAAGCAUUUGCCAAGGAUGUUUUCAUUAAUCAAGAACGAAAGUUAGGGAUCGAAGACGAUCAGAUACCGUCGUAGUCUUAACCAUAAACUAUGCCGACUAGGGAUCGGAUGAUGUUAAUUUUUAAUGACUCAUUCGGCGCCUUAAC